rnacentral:rRNA from 1 species
UCGGGUACACGAGCGGCGAACGGGUGAGUAACACGUGGGUAACCUGCCCUGUACUCUGGGAUAAGCCUGGGAAACUAGGUCUAAUACCGGAUAUGACAUCCCAUCGCAUGGUGGGGUGUGGAAAGUUCCGGCGGUACAGGAUGGACCCGCGGCCUAUCAGCUUGUUGGUGGGGUAAUGGCCUACCAAGGCGACGACGGGUAGCCGGCCUGAGAGGGCGACCGGCCACACUGGGACUGAGACACGGCCCAGACUCCUACGGGAGGCAGCAGUGGGGAAUAUUGCACAAUGGGCGAAAGCCUGAUGCAGCGACGCCGCGUGAGGGAUGACGGCCUUCGGGUUGUAAACCUCUUUCAGUAGGGACGAAGCGCAAGUGACGGUACCUACAGAAGAAGCACCGGCUAACUACGUGCCAGCAGCCGCGGUAAUACGUAGGGUGCGAGCGUUGUCCGGAAUUAUUGGGCGUAAAGAGCUCGUAGGCGGUUUGUUGCGUCGGCUGUGAAAACCUACAGCUUAACUGUGGGCCUGCAGUCGAUACGGGCAGACUUGAGUUCGGCAGGGGAG